CAUAUAGGAAAUGAUAUGGAGCAUAUCUCGCCAUGAUGUAAAGAAAUGGGUGCUACGAAGGCAACAAUGAAAACGGUGCCACGAUAACGUUUCUGCAUUGAGAUGCGGAUGCAAAAGAAUAAGUAUAGGAGGUGCGGGCAUGCAAGAAAUGAUGGGGUGAUCUCGGAUCCCAGAUGUCCCAUGUGUCGGCGGCACGAAAAAACAAAAGAGUGCAACUAACAUUCAUGGACGGCUACCGACAUCACAACACUCGCUCAAGGGCGGUCAUCUCAACAUUAUACCUUCGAAGCGUGUGGGCGAGGCGGAAGGGUUCAUUGCAGUAUAGAGGUUCACAAGUCGUUGUAGAAGUAGUGGCACACGUGUCGAAGUUGAACUUGAUGAAUCCGAGGUUUUUGGGGCGAACGUAGUGGUAGACGGCAACGGACAUCGUGCUACUUGUCGUUAUUGGCUAUUCAGGAUAUGGUGGUAGAGGUACUUUAACGCAUCACCAUAUAUUCGUAUGCGACGCUUGUAGACUUGGUGAAAUCUGAGACAAUCUUGGGUGUCUUUGCACAAACUGGCAAGAUGGGCAAAAUUGAACCAACCGUAACCGAAGACAACAAAGCACAAGGAUCCUCUACAGUAUUAUAUGAUACAGUAAGCUCACUGUCACGUGGUACCUGACCCAUGUGUCAUCCACACUACAGCAUCAUACAGUACAGCAGAGGAUCUCAACCCGGCACACAUCUGGGUGCACGCAGCUAGAGGUGAUCUGAACCAUGAUGGUUGUGCAGGAGCGAACAGAAUAGGCAACAGCAGGAAGCAGCGACGGCUGCAGUUUUUGCCGGCAAGGCAUGGGGCAGCGCAAGGUGAGCAUGCAACGAGUAGAGGAGGGGCGCUACCAUGGCAAGGAUCUCGAGCCAAUGCUCACAGUAGAGGCAGAAUCUCGAGCCGGUCAUGGCUGAGGCGGCUUGCACGAAAGCAGGUCGGGACGGGCGGCACGCAGUGGAGCUGUAAGCAUUGGAGGCGAGGCACACAGAGGGGCUGGUCGGGUCCUUUGGUGCAGAGGAUAGGAGAGGUCGGAAGCUUAAGCGGCGCCAGCUAUGGCGCGGCCAAGGAGCAGGAGGAUGCAAGGGGCGGCUCGGGCAGCACGAGAUGGGCCACCCAUGGCUGCAUCAUGAUGCAGGUCGACAUCAGCUGACUCAUGGCAAAGCUUGAGGAGAAGCGGGCGAGCACGCAUGAGGCGGGCGGAGCUGUGGCUAGGCACAUGAGGUCGAGGACGCGGUUCGGGCAUGGUGUGCUCAAGUGGAUGAAGGAGGUGGAGAGGACUCGGCGAGGGGGCAUGAAGAAGGGGCCCACAAGAAUAGGCGGGCACGGCGGCGAUCAAGCUUGUCGGGCAGCGAGACGGCGAGGGCGAGCGACGGUCGGGUCGCCGGAGGUAGGGCCAUGGAUGGAGCCAAGGGGAUCGAGUGAGGAGCGCUGGUGAGAGCGAUGCGUGUGGGUGGCGGCGUGGGAUCGAAACAGUGAGGGAGAGAUUGAGAGAAGAGAGGGUUCAGGCUCCCUAGCGGCUAGGGUUAGGAGGAGGGAUUAGAUAGGUCGCGGGGAUGAGCUAGAAUCGGCGAGAAGCCCACUUGGCCUUUCUCUUUUCUAUAAGCUGAAAAAAGAUACUUAGAGAAAGAAGAGAGGUCUAUAGGAAGAGAGUUUGGAGGGAGUAUUUUCCCGGACUCAUGAAAAUAACCUCGAUCCAAG
rnacentral:lncRNA from 1 species